GAUACCCUAUUAUUUUAAAUGUAAUUUUAUACUAAAAUUAGUAUUAGCUAUGUUCUUAAAAAUUAAAAAUUUUGGCGGUAUUUUAGUCUUUUCAGAGGAACCUGUUUUUUAAUCGAUAAUCCACGAUAAAUUUGACUUUGAUUAAUAAUUUACAUAUCGUUGUUUAUAAAAAUUUUAAAAGAAUAUUAAUUUUUAAGAUUUUUAAUUAAAAAUUAAUUCAGAUCAAGGUGUAGUUUAUAUUUAAGUUAAAAUGGGUUACAAUAAAUUUAUUUUUGGUUUUAAAGUUGAAAAUUUUAAUUAAAUUGGAUUUGAAAGUAAAUUUUAUAUUUUUAAUAUUUGAUUGAGCUCUAAAAUAUGCACACAUCGCC
rnacentral:rRNA from 1 species